CCUGUGUCAGCCCACCGUCUUUCUGUGGGGUAGUCACUUUUUCAGGGCUUCUGACCAAUCAGCACAUGUUCAUACUAAACCUAUUAUGCGUCUUGUCUAGUCCCAUGAAGGAACUCUCCCACCCCAGGCUGUGGCAUGAUGAUUAAGACACAGUCUGUACGGGAUUGCUCAUAGACUCAUGGAGCCACAGUUUCAGUUUGUUAUGGUACUUGCUUUAAUGAAGGCAUUGUUGUUUGGUUUCUUUUUAAAGAUUUUUUUUAUCUUAUAUGUGUGAGUCUUUGCCUGCGUACAUGCAUGCCCACCAUGUGCGGACCUAAUUCCAUCAUCAGUGCUGAAAAAAAAUCAAUGUUUGAAAAUGUGAUACUUGGCCAGCUAUGAAGAGAGCAGAAACAGUAACAGGCACAUGUUCCUACUUGAAGAUGGAGUCAGAUCGUUAAAGUAGACGUGAAGGCUCCAACAUGACAGCGAUUCCAAAUAUAGAGGUCAUUACAGGGGAAAAGGACAAUAUAGCAAGAACGGGAAGAGUCUGAAGAGACCAGAGGCAAGCUCCAGUUGUCCCCAAGAGGACUUUCUGUCUAUAACCUGAAACCACAAAAGUUUAACUUCAGAGGCCCAGACUGCGGUCCUUCGUUUCCUUGUUGGAACCCAUGAGUUGUUGAGAUCAUCAGGGAACAAUACUUUCAUCCACUGAGACAGCUGCCAGAUGUUGAUGGCAAAGAGCAAACAAGAGAACAAGGAUACAAAAGAUAUGAUAGCUUUCCAAUCUUAUGGGGCAAGAAGCCAAUUAACUCUGAGAAAUUCCUAAGGGAGUCAUCAUAUCAUAUAAAACUAGUUCUGCUGGAUCCAUGAAAAUGAAAAACCAAGGCCCCAAAGGCCAUCAUUGCACUCAGGCCAUACUAUGCUUGUGACAUACUGAGUAGUAUGCACAUUGCACACACUUCAGAGUUUGGAAGGAGACAUCACCAUGAUGUGUGGCAAG
rnacentral:lncRNA from 1 species